GCUAGCACACUCUCGAGCAUUUCAUUAAUUUCGUUAUUUUACAAAAGCAAUUGCAAAAUCAAUAGUAAUGUAGUAAACCCCCCAAAAAACGAAGAGAAAAGAACUAGUCCAAAAAAUUGUAGAGUGCUUCGAAUUGGCAGCGUAUCGUCGUCUGGCUGAUUUCUAUUUGAAAAGUACCUCGGCGAUGCCGCCAGCAGCGUUUAUUAUACGAGAAUAAUAGCAAAACGAGCAGAUCGAAUAAAAUCGCAACGAAUUGAACCAUCGACCAAAACGACCGCAGGUGCAUAGCGUUCUGUUCUGUUCUGUGCUGUUCCGUUUUGGGGAGUCUCCGACUCGUGAAAUACAAAUUUCGGCAGCUGGCGGCAAGUGCACUUGAAGUAGCUCGUUGCCCAAAAAAAAAGCGCGCGCGGCAACAACUGUGAACUGAAUCAAGUAGAACUCGCAACUCGCACUCACAUUUGCACACUUCGCCUGACGAGUCUUUAACCAAAAACGAAUAUUUGAAUAAACUUGCAUUGCGAUGCGAAGCUACAUUGACAGCAUCAGGGAGGGUGUCGUCUUGUAAGUGGAGGAAUUCAGUAUGUUGUGUGUGUGUGUGUGCUGCCCUUAUGCUGAAUAUGUGCAUAAAUGCAUGUUGAGUAUAGUACAACAAUAACAAGAGUGGCAAGCAAACAAACGCAAAAACGCAAACUCAAUUGUCAUCACCAUAAAAAUAACAUAAAACUCUUUUUACGACUUCGUGGUUGCGUUUGUGCGUGUGCAAGAACUACAUAUACACAGACAUACAUAUAUGUGAUAUAUAAUAUGAAUAUGUGUCUGGUAGGGGUAAUCAGACAUGGUGAAAUAAAAUGUUGUCUUGGC